rnacentral:lncRNA from 1 species
UAUAGAGAAAAAAAAGCAUUUUCCUUCAUUUUUAAAGUGAAAUUGAAAUAGUUUAGGGCAUCCUAAUUUUUUGAAAAUUACAUUUUUGAAAUUUACGCGAAAAAACAUAGUAAAAAAAACACUAGCCUAUUCAACAUUCUCAGUUUGUUAAACAAUGAAACAGAAACUCUAUAAAAAUAAUUUCGACUAAAUAAUUGGCAUCCGGAAUCAGCAUAGAUUAGUUAAAAGCUGAUCAUAAGAUAGUAUGGAAUAAUCUUUUUACUUCGUUAGCUCUCAUAGACUGUUUUGGAUCCUUAGUUUACCGGGACAUUUAGGAGAAUGAAGUUUAAUAAUCUGGAUCUUCAAAGUAAUCUUAUAUGAACAAGAUAGUCAAAGGAGCUAUUCAAACAGUAUUUAUUGGCAAUGAUUUGUGUAUAAUUGCUUGAAAUUACUUUGAAUUAGUCUACAUUGGAUCCAACUACUUGAAUUCAGAGCCUUUUGGAUACGUGGGUCAUUAUAAAAGAGAAAAACGCACGAAGCUCUAAUUAUAUUAUGGUGUACAACGUAAAUAUAGGUCAGAACAAAGAAAGUGUACUGAGCAUAACUACUUCUUGAACAACGAUAAACGCCAAGCCACAAUGACAUAAGUUUAAUUCAUUAGGAGCUGUUUCUCGUCAUCCCUUCAUUAUCAUGAAGGCCCAAUACCAUGCUUUAGCACAUAUCUACAGUAUACUAAAGAGGAUUUCUGCUAUGAUGUAUGGAAAUAUUAUGUCAUCUAUGUAACUAAGACGAAGUCUGCAUGUUACUAUUGCAAAGAAGUUGGAAAAAAUAUAUAUAUUCUUUUUUCGCUCUAAUACGACUUAUUUCAGGGCGCGUACUUAUUAAUACGCGGCUUGUACGUUCGUAUUAGGAUAUAGCAAGGACAUAUAGGCUUGAAUUACAAUGAUGUCGAUCCUCAAUUUCACUCUCAGUCCUACAAAAACUUACACUUACAAGGAUAACUCCACGAGACAACCCUUAUUGUUACUCUCACUUUCAUGAUCACACGUACAAGUUUAUACUCUUUAUCCAUAGAUGUUUUGUCUUCAAGAUUGGGAUAAUAAUAACUACAGCUAAGGAAGAUAAAAAUUAUGUUAAGAUUGUCAACUAGAAAAAAUGUUCCUGCUUUCUACAACAUACUUUAUACACUUCUGCCAUUUAAAAAUGAAUGGGGAACAAAGUGGCAAUAUCUCUUGACCAGAACAUUAAGAGAGGAUCAGAAGACUGGGAUGUCCCAAGGACUAUUUUUCGGGUUUCCAAUUUUUUGAAAGCAUUUCAAAAGCACUGCUGCUUAGUUUGGUCGAAUUACUAUUUUUUUUAUAAAAUAAAUCCUUAUCAAAAAUUUUAAA